AUGCAACUGAUCAGAGACCUAGUGACUGGUAAAAUUAGGAACACAGAAGGCAGCAUUUGGUGCCAAUGGACAUUGUUAAAUAAUCAGAGCUGGUUUUUUAAUCAGACACAGAACCGCAAGAAUGGCAUCAGUGGUGGUAGUGAUGAUGGUCACCUCUUCAAGAAGGAUCUUCCUGGGAGUCACCGUGUGCUAGGAUGUGGUCUGAGAGUGGUGGGAAAGAGAGAAAGUGGCCCCUUCCUGAAGUCAAAUCAUUGGUUCCAGAAGACUGCCUCCCACUGGGGACUACAGAGAAGAGAGAAAGGGCUUCAAGAAUCCAAUUACCAUCUGGUGGUAUGCUAUAGGGAAGUGCAAUUCUUCUGCAUCAGCAAACACAAAAUGCAGCAGUUUGGUGAGCAAGCUGGCAGCUUCCAGAGCUUGGAGCAAAAAGGAAGGACCCAGAGGACCAUAAGCAAGAUUAAAAUGGAAAUGAUAAACUGGAUAAAUAGUUGCAAUAAGUAGCACAAAGGGCUAACCUCCUUAAUGUGGAAAGAAGUCCUAGAAAUGGAGAAGACAAGAAUAAUCAGCCCGUAGAAAAAUGAGAAAAGCAAAUACACAUAGAGUGCACAGAAGGAAAAAGAGAAAUAAAAUGUCACUUUAAAAAAUGAAAUGAGGGUAC
rnacentral:lncRNA from 1 species